GACGAACGCUGGCGGCGUGCCUAAUACAUGCAAGUUGAGCGAUGAAGAUUGGUGCUUGCACCAAUUUGAAGAGCAGCGAACGGGUGAGUAACGCGUGGGGAAUCUGCCUUUGAGCGGGGGACAACAUUUGGAAACGAAUGCUAAUACCGCAUAACAACUUUAAACAUAAGUUUUAAGUUUGAAAGAUGCAAUUGCAUCACUCAAAGAUGAUCCCGCGUUGUAUUAGCUAGUUGGUGAGGUAAAGGCUCACCAAGGCGAUGAUACAUAGCCGACCUGAGAGGGUGAUCGGCCCCAUUGGGACUGAGACACGGCCCAAACUCCUACGGGAGGCAGCAGUAGGGAAUCUUCGGCAAUGGACGAAAGUCUGACCGAGCAACGCCGCGUGAGUGAAGAAGGUUUUCGGAUCGUAAAACUCUGUUGGUAGAGAAGAACGUUGGUGAGAGUGGAAAGCUCAUCAAGUGACGGUAACUACCCAGAAAGGGACGGCUAACUACGUG
rnacentral:rRNA from 1 species